rnacentral:tRNA from 1 species
ACUCUCUUAGUAUAAGUAGUACAACCGACUUCCAAUUAGUAGGCCUCAGUUAAACCUGAGAGAGAGUA